AUUGAACGCUGGCGGCAUGCCUUACACAUGCAAGUCGAACGGCAGCGCGGACUUCGGUCUGGCGGCGAGUGGCGAACGGGUGAGUAAUACAUCGGAACGUACCCUGUUGUGGGGGAUAACUAGUCGAAAGAUUAGCUAAUACCGCAUACGACCUGAGGGUGAAAGUGGGGGACCGCAAGGCCUCACGCAGCAGGAGCGGCCGAUGUCUGAUUAGCUAGUUGGUGGGGUAAAGGCCCACCAAGGCGACGAUCAGUAGCUGGUCUGAGAGGACGAUCAGCCACACUGGGACUGAGACACGGCCCAGACUCCUACGGGAGGCAGCAGAGGGUAAUUUAGGACAAUGGGGGCAACCCUGAUCCAGCAAUGCCGCGUGUGUGAAAGAGGCCUUCGGGUUGUAAAGCACUUUUGUCCGGAAAGAAAUCGCGCUGGUUAAUACCUGGCGUGGAUGACGGUACCGGAAGAAUAAGCACCGGCUAACUACGUGCCAGCAGCCGCCGUAA
rnacentral:rRNA from 1 species